AGUGAACGCUGGCGGUAGGCCUAACACAUGCCAGUCGAACGGCAGCACAGUAAGAGCUUGCUCUUACGGGUGGCGAGUGGCGGACGGGUGAGGAAUACAUCGGAAUCUACUUUUUCGUGGGGGAUAACGUAGGGAAACUUACGCUAAUACCGCAUACGACCUACGGGUGAAAGCAGGGGAUCUUCGGACCUUGCGCGAUUGAAUGAGCCGAUGUCGGAUUAGCUAGUUGGCGGGGUAAAGGCCCACCAAGGCGACGAUCCGUAGCUGGUCUGAGAGGAUGAUCAGCCACACUGGAACUGAGGCACGGUCCAGACUCCUACGGGAGGCAGCAGUGGGGAAUAUUGGACAAUGGGCGCAAGCCUGAUCCAGCCAUACCGCGUGGGUGAAGAAGGCCUUCGGGUUGUAAAGCCCUUUUGUUGGGAAAGAAAAGCAGCAGGUUAAUACCCCGCUGUUCGGACGGUACCCAAAGAAUAAGCACCGGCUAACUUCGU
rnacentral:rRNA from 1 species